UCUUUCCCAGAGUUAUUACAGAUAUGACUGCUAUGUCACAUGUGUGUCUUUAGCUGACAGAAGAGAGAGGCCUGUGAGCAUUUGGAUGAUUAAUAGUUUGACACU
ensembl:snoRNA